CUCCUUCCAGGGUCGCACCUGGAGAGUUUCCAAUAUUCUACCAGUCUCGAAUAUGGGAGGCGAGCAGAGGCAUAUCAAUUCCAUUCCUAGCUUGGACAGUGGCUAGAGAGUGGAAGGCAAUCUGCUACAAGU